GUGCCAGCAGCCACGGUAAUACCGGCAGCUCGAGUGAUGUCCAAUAUUAUUGGGCCUAAAGCGUCCGUAGCUGGCCGACCAAGUCUCCCGGGAAAUCCACCCGCUCAACGGGUGGGCGUCCGGUAGAAACUGGCCGGCUUGGAACCGGAAGGCUCAGAGAGUACGUCCGGGGUAGGAGUGAAAUCCCGUAAUCCCGGACGGACUACCGAUGGCGAAAGCACUUCGAGAAAACGGAUCCGACAGUGAGGGACGAAAGCCAGGGUCUCCAACCGGAUUAGAUACCCGUGUAGUCC
rnacentral:rRNA from 1 species